AUCAGUUUGAGCCAGAGAAGACAAUAAAUUGAAACCUUUACUUAGAAAUAUGUAAAUAUAACACCAACUGAACAUGAAUGAAGGCUUGAACUAAAUAAUACCACAACAAAAGACUAAACGUAUCCAGACAUUGUCGAGCAGAGAACACAAAAUGGAACACCGCUACUCUUCAGUGACGUCCUGUCUGACAGGUAACGAGAAUACAACGGGACACCGCUACUCUUCAGUGACGUCCUGUCUGUCAGGUAACGAGAAUACAACGGGACACCGCUACUCUUCAGUGACGUCCUGUCUGUCAGGUAACGAGAAUACAACGGGACACCGCUACUCUUCAGUGACGUCUUGUCUGUCAGGUAACGAGAAUAAAAUGGGACACCGCUACUCUUCAGUGACGUCCCACUGUCUGUCAGGUAACGAGAAUACAACGGGACACCGCUACUCUUCAGUGACGCCCCACUGUCUGUCAGGUAACGAGAAUACAACGGGACACCGCUACUCUUCAGUGACGUCCUGUCUGUCAGGUAACGAGAAUAAAAUGGGACACCGCUACUCUUCAGUGACGUCCUGUCUGUCAGGUAACGAGAAUACAACGGGACACCGCUACUCUUCAGUGACGUCCUGUCUG
ensembl:lncRNA